AGUGAACGCUGGCGGUAGGCCUAACACAUGCAAGUCGAACGGCAGCACAGUAAGCGCUUGCCCCUACGGGUGGCGAGGGGCGGACGGGUGAGGAAUACAUCGGAAUCUACUUUUUCGUGGGUGAUAACGGAGGACAACUUACGCUAAUACCGCAUACGAUCUACGGCAGAAAGCAGGGGAUCUUCGCACCUUUGGCGUCUGAUUUAGCCGGUGCCGGAUUAGCUAGUUGGCGAGGUAAGGGCCCACCAAGGCGACGAUCCGUAGCUGGUCUGAGAGGAUGAUCGGCCACACUGGAACUGAGACACGGUCCAGACUCCUACGGGAGGCAGCAGUGGGGAAUAUUGGACAAUGGGCGAAAGCCUGAUCCAGCCAUGCCGCGUGGGUGAAGAAGGCCUUCGGGUUGUAAAGCCCUUUUAUUGGGAAAGAAAAGCAGUGGAUUAAUCCCCCGCUGUUCUGACGGUACCCAAAGAGUAAGCACCGGCUAACUUCGUG
rnacentral:rRNA from 1 species